rnacentral:rRNA from 1 species
UACGAAGGGGGCUAGCGUUGUUCGGAAUUACUGGGCGUAAAGCGCGCGCAGGCGGUCUUCCAAGUCAGUGGUGAAAGCCCGGAGCUCAACUCCGGUACUGCCAUUGAAACUGUUGGACUUGAGUACGAGAGAGGUGAGUGGAAUUCCCAGUGUAGAGGUGAAAUUCGUAGAUAUUGGGAAGAACACCGGUGGCGAAGGCGGCUCACUGGCUCAUUACUGACGCUCAGGCGCGAUAGCGUGGGGAUCAAACAGG